AGAGCUCCCAGCAGCCAACUCACUACAACACUCACACAGACCAAUUGAAAGCUGGGGGGAAAAAGGCCUCCGUUUAUUGGGCCGAUUCAUGGAUCCUGAGAUCCACACACCGACAUUCACGCCAUCCAUCUUCUGCUGGGGACACGGGCCGCCGAAAGGAUAGGAGGAGGAAUUACACGCAUGAGCACUACGUCCUCGCAUAAAUCACCCCGGCCAGGGAAAGUGUCACGUUCCACUGCUUGGUGGGAAUUGGACAGAGGAAGCAGGAUGGGGAGCUGAUGACAACAUCUGUUUGUUGGCUGCCAAACCGUGAGGUCACCUCCUUCUCUGUCAACACAUCCAUUGCUUCGAGACGCUGUGGUUCGCGACUGGAUAUUACAGCGUUAAACCUUCAAGCGUUACCUAUAACUGCCAGGUCGCAGUUGUAAACGAGAACUUGUUCUCAACUAGCCUACCUGAUUAAAUAAAGGUGAAAUAAAAAAUCCAAUAGGGUGAGUAUUGGUAAAGUGGGACACUUUCUGAAAAUGUGCUUUGCUGAACACCUUUCAGAAUCUUAACCUCUGACAUGAUACCAUUCUAAAUAGCUUAAGAACUCUACUAAACUACACAAACUAAAUGAAAAGAAAGAAAUAUUAAACACAGGAUGGGUGACUCUUCAAGCCCAAAAUGUCCUGAGACCACAUGUUUUUGUUGAUCAUGGUAAAUUGGGACACCUUGAUUGGCAAAGAGGGACUCUUAAUUCUUAAUUGUAAAGGAGCA